AAUCCAUGUUGCGGGCACUUUCUCAGAAGCUCUUUAAAUCUUUCCCACGUCUUAAAUAGAGACUCUAAUUUUGAUUGUACAAAGGACGAGAUCUCUUUUCUAAUCUU